rnacentral:rRNA from 1 species
GUGCCAGCAGCCGCGGUAAUACGAACCGUACGAACGUUAUUCGGAAUCACUGGGCUUAAAGAGUGCGUAGGCGGCUCAGAAAGUUGGGUGUGAAAUCCCUCGGCUCAACCGAGGAAUUGCGCUCAAAACUACUGAGCUUGAGGGAGGCAGAGGUGAGCGGAACUAAUGGUGGAGCGGUGAAAUGCGUUGAUAUCAUUAGGAACACCUGAGGCGAAAGCAGCUCACUGGGCCUCUUCUGACGCUGAGGCACGAAAGCUAGGGUAGCGAACGGGAUUAGAAACCCCAGUAGUCC